rnacentral:tRNA from 1 species
GCUAAAGUAGCUCAGAUGGGACAACGUGAGACUGAAGAUCUAAAGGUCCUGGUUCAAUCUCAGGCUUCAGCA